AUGAGGAUUCUAAGCGUUGCAGCAUUUGCUGUUUCUGGUUAUGCCUCUACGGAUGGAAGGAGUUGUAAGCCCUUCAACCCUCUUCUUGGGGAGACCUAUGAAGCAGAUUAUCGAGAUAAAGGUCUUCGUUUUUUCUCAGAAAAGGUUAGUCAUCAUCCAAUGGUUGUUGCAUGCCACUGUGAGGGAAAUGGCUGGAGGUUUUGGGCAGAUAGCAACCUAAAGAGCAAGUUCUGGGGUCGCUCCAUUCAACUUGAUCCUGUUGGUGUGUUAACACUGGAGUUUGAUGAUGGUGAAGUUUUCCAGUGGAGCAAGGUGACCACUUCCAUUUACAAUCUCAUAUUGGGUAAACUGUACUGUGAUCACUAUGGUACUAUGCGCAUUCAAGGUAAUCGCGAAUAUUCAUGUAAGCUGAAGUUCAAGGAGUAG
rnacentral:rRNA from 1 species